AGCAGCCGCGGUAAUUCCAGCUCCAAUAGCGUAUAUUAAAGUUGUUGCAGUUAAAAGCUCGUAGUUGAAUUUCGAGAUCAAAUUGUUGGUCGUGCCUCGGUACGUACUGGCAUUAUUGAUUUCUCCCUUCUGACGAUCCGCGAUGUCAUUAAUUUGGUGUCGUGGGGAAUCAGGACUGUUACUUGAAAAAUUAGAGUGUUUAAAGCAGGCUCACGCUUGAAUACAUUAGCAUGGAAUAAUGAAAUAGGACGUUUGAUUCUAUUUUGUUGGUUUCUAGGAUCGACGUAAUGAUUAAUAGGGAUAGUUGGGGCAUUAGUAUUCAAUUGUCAGAGGUGAAAUUCUUGGAUUUAUUGAAGACUAACUACUGCGAAAGCAUUUGCCAAGGAUGUUUUCAUUAAUCAAGAACGAAAGUUAGGGGAUCGAAGACGAUCAGAUACCGUCGUAGUCUUAACCAUAAACUAUGCCGACUAGGGGAUCGGAUGAUGUUAAUUUUUUAAUGACUCAUUCGGCGCCUUACGGG
rnacentral:rRNA from 1 species